rnacentral:rRNA from 1 species
GGGCAGGCUUAACACAUGCAAGUCGAACGCCCCGCAAGGGGAGUGGCAGACGGGUGAGUAACGCGUGGGAAUCUACCGUACCCUACGGAAUAACGCAUGGAAACGUGUGCUAAUACCGUAUACGCCCUACGGGGGAAAGAUUUAUCGGGGUAUGAUGAGCCCGCGUUGGAUUAGCUAGUUGGUGGGGUAAAGGCCUACCAAGGCGACGAUCCAUAGCUGGUCUGAGAGGAGAUCAGCCACAUUGGGACUGAGACACGGCCCAAACUCCUACGGGAGGCAGCAGUGGGGAAUAUUGGACAAUGGGCGCAAGCCUGAUCCAGCCAUGCCGCGUGAGUGAUGAAGGUCUUAGGAUUGUAAAGCUCUUUCACCGGAGAAGAUAAUGACGGU